GCCCUACGGGGGGCAGCAGUGAGGAAUAUUGGUCAAUGGGCGGGAGCCUGAACCAGCCAAGCCGCGUGAAGGAAGAAGGCGCCAGGCGUCGUAAACUUCUUUUGUCGGGGAACAAAGGGCGCCACGCGUGGCGUUGUGAGUGUACCCGAAGAAAAAGCAUCGGCUAACUCCCUGCCAGCAGCCGCAGUAAUACGGAGGAUGCGAGCGUUAUCCGGAUUUAUUGGGUUUAAAGGGUGCGUAGGCGGAUCGUUAAGUCAGUGGUCAAAUUGAGGGGCUCAACCCCUUCCCGCCAUUGAAACUGGCGC
rnacentral:rRNA from 1 species